AUUGAACGCUGGCGGCAUGCCUUACACAUGCAAGUCGAACGGCAGCACGGACUUCGGUCUGGUGGCGAGUGGCGAACGGGUGAGUAAUGUAUCGGAACGUACCUUUCAGUGGGGGAUAACGUAGCGAAAGUUACGCUAAUACCGCAUAUUCUGUGAGCAGGAAAGCAGGGGAUCGCAAGACCUUGCGCUGAUUGAGCGGCCGAUAUCAGAUUAGCUAGUUGGUGAGGUAAAGGCUCACCAAGGCGACGAUCUGUAGCGGGUCUGAGAGGAUGAUCCGCCACACUGGAACUGAGACACGGUCCAGACUCCUACGGGAGGCAGCAGUGGGGAAUUUUGGACAAUGGGGGCAACCCUGAUCCAGCCAUGCCGCGUGAGUGAAG
rnacentral:rRNA from 1 species